GGUCGAAAGGCCGUCCGNGUUGUAAUCUAGAGAAGCGUGUUCUGUGCUGGACCGUGUACAAGUCUCCUGGAAGGGAGCGUCAUAGAGGGUGAGAAUCCCGUCUCUGACACGGNGAACCAGGGCUAUGUGAUGCGCUCUCGACGAGUCGAGUUGUUUGGGAAUGCAGCUCUAAAAGGGUGGUAAAUUCCAUCUAAAGCUAAAUACUGGCGAGAGACCGAUAGCGAACAAGUACCGUGAGGGAAAGAUGAAAAGAACUUUGGAAAGAGAGUUAAACAGUACGUGAAAUUGCUGAAAGGGAAACGUUUGACGUCAGUCGCGUCAGUCAGGGAUCAACCUUGCGAGCGUUCGCGCUGACGGGUGCACUUCCUGACGGACGGGUCAGCAUCAGUUUGGAUCGCCGUACAAUGGCAAAGGGAAGGUGGCACUCCUCGGAGUGUGUUAUAGCCUUUUGUCGUCUGCGGAGAGCUAGACUGAGGAACUCGGCACGGCCUUCUCAGGUCUGUAGUCUAGGAUGCUGGCAUAAUGGCGUCAAGCGACCCGUCUUGAAACACGGACCAAGGAGUCUAACAUGCAUGCGAGUGUUUGGGUGGAAAACUCGAGCGCGGAACGAAAGUGAAAGUCGAGACCUCUGUCAUGGAGA
rnacentral:rRNA from 1 species